AGCGAACGCUGGCGGCAGGCCUAACACAUGCAAGUCGAACGAACUCUUCGGAGUUAGUGGCGGACGGGUGAGUAACACGUGGGAACGUGCCUUUAGGUUCGGAAUAACUCAGGGAAACUCGUGCUAAUACCGAAUGUGCCCUUCGGGGGAAAGCUUUAUCCCCUUUAGAGCGGCCCGCGUCUGAUUAGCUAGUUGGUGAGGUAAAGGCUCACCAAGGCGACGAUCAGUAGCUGGUCUGAGAGGAUGAUCAGCCACAUUGGGACUGAGACACGGCCCAAACUCCUACGGGAGGCAGCAGUGGGGAAUCUUGCGCAAUGGGCGAAAGCCUGACGCAGCCAUGCCGCGUGAAUGAUGAAGGUCUUAGGAUUGUAAAAUUCUUUCACCGGGGACGAUAAUGACGGUACCCGGAGAAGAAGCCCCGGCUAACUUCGUGCCAGCCGCCGCGGUAA
rnacentral:rRNA from 1 species